rnacentral:rRNA from 1 species
UACGAAGGGGGCUAGCGUUGCUCGGAAUCACUGGGCGUAAAGCGCACGUAGGCGGGUCCUUAAGUCAGGGGUGAAAUCCCGGAGCUCAACUCCGGAACUGCCUUUCAUACUGGCGAUCUCGAGUCCGGAAGAGGUGAGUGGAACUCCUAGUGUAGAGGUGGAAUUCGUAGAUAUUAGGAAGAACACCAGUGGCGAAGGCGGCUCACUGGUCCGGUACUGACGCUGAGGUGCGAAAGCGUGGGGAGCAAACAGG